CCACCUUGAACCUGGACACCACGGUCAACACAGGGGUCCUGCUCUUGCCAGAAGGCUCCUCCUGGGACUUCUCUUCUGGAACUAUGUGCUCCACGCCCCUCCCACCCUGACACUGUGUCCAGGUUCAGGGGCACAGAGGAGCGGCCCACUUCUUGGAGACUGCAAGGCGGGGCCCGAAGUCUCAGAUCCUCAGGAAGACUCAGGUUCAGAGGAGGCUUCCAGUGACCUCUGUCAAAUGGAGCCACGUGACUCACCAGGAGCUUCUGGCCCAAGGCACUGCCCUUGCCAUCAUGGACAACACAGAGGAUGCAAGUGGGCUACUUCAAUAAACCCUUUCCCAUAAGUAAUCCCAGCUACCUUCAGAGUCUAUGUGCACUGGUUCGUUUAACUCUCACAGAAGUCCCAUGAGUUGCGUGUUGGUCCUCCUUUCCUUGCCAUUUUAUAGGUGAAAGAACAGGUUUACAGAAUUGAAAUAUCUUUCUGAUGUGCUCUGAACCACUAUGCUGGAAUCCCCAAUAGCUAUCUUUUGUUUCCAUUGGUGUCAGAGAUGGGAGAGACCUAUGAUGAGGAAAUGAAGGCCUAGGUCCUA